AAAUUGAAGAGUUUGAUCAUGGCUCAGAUUGAACGCUGGCGGCAGGCCUAACACAUGCAAGUCGAACGGUAACAGGAAGCAGCUUGCUGCUUCGCUGACGAGUGGCGGACGGGUGAGUAAUGUCUGGGAAACUGCCUGAUGGAGGGGGAUAACUACUGGAAACGGUGGCUAAUACCGCAUAACGUCGCAAGACCAAAGAGGGGGACCUUCGGGCCUCUUGCCAUCAGAUGUGCCCAGAUGGGAUUAGCUUGUUGGUGAGGUAACGGCUCACCAAGGCGACGAUCCCUAGCUGGUCUGAGAGGAUGACCAGCCACACUGGAACUGAGACACGGUCCAGACUCCUACGGGAGGCAGCAGUGGGGAAUAUUGCACAAUGGGCGCAAGCCUGAUGCAGCCAUGCCGCGUGUAUGAAGAAGGCCUUCGGGUUGUAAAGUACUUUCAGCGGGGAGGAAGGUGUUGUGGUUAAUAACCGCAGCAAUUGACGUUACCCGCAGAAGAAGCACCGGCUAACUCCGUGCCAGCAGCCGCGGUAAUACGGAGGGUGCAAGCGUUAAUCGGAAUUACUGGGCGUAAAGCGCACGCAGGCGGUCUGUCAAGUCGGAUGUGAAAUCCCCGGGCUCAACCUGGGAACUGCAUUCGAAACUGGCAGGCUUGAGUCUUGUAGAGGGGGGUAGAAUUCCAGGUGUAGCGGUGAAAUGCGUAGAGAUCUGGAGGAAUACCGGUGGCGAAGGCGGCCCCCUGGACAAAGACUGACGCUCAGGUGCGAAAGCGUGGGGAGCAAACAGGAUUAGAUACCCUGGUAGUCCACGCCGUAAACGAUGUCUACUUGGAGGUUGUGCCCUUGAGGCGUGGCUUCCGGAGCUAACGCGUUAAGUAGACCGCCUGGGGAGUACGGCCGCAAGGUUAAAACUCAAAUGAAUUGACGGGGGCCCGCACAAGCGGUGGAGCAUGUGGUUUAAUUCGAUGCAACGCGAAGAACCUUACCUGGUCUUGACAUCCACAGAAGAAUCCAGAGAUGGAUUGGUGCCUUCGGGAACUGUGAGACAGGUGCUGCAUGGCUGUCGUCAGCUCGUGUUGUGAAAUGUUGGGUUAAGUCCCGCAACGAGCGCAACCCUUAUCCUUUGUUGCCAGCGAUUAGG
rnacentral:rRNA from 2 species